CAGCUAGUUGGUAGGGUAACGGCCUACCAAGGCUGUGAUGGGUAGCUGGUCUGAGAGGAUGAUCAGCCACACUGGGACUGAGACACGGCCCAGACUCCUACGGGAGGCAGCAGUGGGGAAUAUUGCGCAAUGGGGGAAACCCUGACGCAGCGACGCCGCGUGGGUGAUGAAGGCCUUCGGGUCGUAAAGCCCUGUCGUAGGGAAAGAAUCGGUGAGCGGCUAAUACCCGCCUGCCUUGACGGUACCCUACAAGAAAGCACCGGCUAACUCCGUGCCAGCAGCCGCGGUAAUACGGAGGGUGCGAGCGUUGUUCGGAAUUACUGGGCGUAAAGCGCGUGCAGGCGGCCGACUAAGUCCGGUGUGAAAGCCCGGGGCUCACCCCCGGAAGUGCGCUGGAAACUGGUCGGCUAGAGUACGGGAGAGGGAAGCGGAAUUCCUGGUGUAGCGGUGGAA
rnacentral:rRNA from 1 species